GGGGAAUAUUGGACAAUGGGCGAAAGCCUGAUCCAGCCAUGCCGCGUGUGUGAAGAAGGUCUUCGGAUUGUAAAGCACUUUAAGUUGGGAGGAAGGGCAGUAAGUUAAUACCUUGCUGUUUUGACGUUACCAACAGAAUAAGCACCGGCUAACUUCGUGCCAGCAGCCGCGGUAAUACGAAGGGUGCAAGCGUUAAUCGGAAUUACUGGGCGUAAAGCGCGCGUAGGUGGUUUGGUAAGAUGGAUGUGAAAUCCCCGGGCUCAACCUGGGAACUGCGCUUGUGACUGCAAGACUAGAGUACGGCAGAGGGUGGUGGAAUUUCCUGUGUAGCGGUGAAAUGCGUAGAUAUAGGAAGGAACACCAGUGGCGAAGGCGACCACCUGGACUGAUACUGACACUGAGGUGCGAAAGCGUGGGGAGCAAACA
rnacentral:rRNA from 1 species